AAUGUCGUAACAAGGUUUCCGUAGGUGAACCUGCGGAAUGGAUCAUUACAGAGGUUUAAUCCUUAUUUUCGUGAAUUUGAUUAUCUGGUGUGUACUUUUGGUGAGUGAGAGCGAGUGCGGAGCACGAGUUGAGAUCAUUUUAGAAAUGCAAUGAGUCGAACCAUUCGUUCAACAGUACACCAUACUAUGCACCAAAAUCCAUUUUUGAUACCAAUUUCCUGUCUGAAGGAAAACGAAAUUGAAAAAU
rnacentral:misc_RNA from 1 species